rnacentral:rRNA from 1 species
GACGAACGCUGGCGGCGUGCCUAAUACAUGCAAGUAGAACGCUGAAGGAGGAGCUUGCUUCUCUGGAUGAGUUGCGAACGGGUGAGUAACGCGUAGGUAACCUGCCUGGUAGCGGGGGAUAACUAUUGGAAACGAUAGCUAAUACCGCAUAACAGUAGAUAUCGCAUGAUAGCUGCUUGAAAGGUGCAAUUGCACCACUACCAGAUGGACCUGCGUUGUAUUAGCUAGUUGGUGAGGUAACGGCUCACCAAGGCGACGAUACAUAGCCGACCUGAGAGGGUGAUCGGCCACACUGGGACUGAGACACGGCCCAGACUCCUACGGGAGGCAGCAGUAGGGAAUCUUCGGCAAUGGACGGAAGUCUGACCGAGCAACGCCGCGUGAGUGAAGAAGGUUUUCGGAUCGUAAAGCUCUGUUGUAAGAGAAGAACGAGUGUGAGAGUGGAAAGUUCACACUGUGACGGUAUCUACCAGAAAGGA